CGCGGCAAGACGGAAAGACCCCGUGAACCUUUACUAUAGCUUGACACUGAACAUUGAGCCUUGAUGUGUAGGAUAGGUGGGAGGCUUUGAAGCGUGGACGCCAGUCUGCGUGGAGCCGACCUUGAAAUACCACCCUUUAAUGUUUGAUGUUCUAACGUGGAUCCGUAAUCCGGGUUGCGGACAGUGUCUGGUGGGUAGUUUGACUGGGGCGGUCUCCUCCUAAAGAGUAACGGAGGAGCACGAAGGUUGGCUAAUCCUGGUCGGACAUCAGGAGGUUAGUGCAAUGGCAUAAGCCAGCUUGACUGCGAGCGUGACGGCGCGAGCAGGUGCGAAAGCAGGUCAUAGUGAUCCGGUGGUUCUGAAUGGAAGGGCCAUCGCUCAACGGAUAAAAGGUACUCCGGGGAUAACAGGCUGAUACCGCCCAAGAGUUCAUAUCGACGGCGGUGUUUGGCACCUCGAUGUCGGCUCAUCACAUCCUGGGGCUGAAGUAGGUCCCAAGGGUAUGGCUGUUCGCCAUUUAAAGUGGUACGCGAGCUGGGUUUAGAACGUCGUGAGACAGUUCGGUCCCUAUCUGCCGUGGGCGCUGGAGAACUGAGGGGGGCUGCUCCUAGUACGAGAGGACCGGAGUGGACGCAUCACUGGUGUUCGGGUUGUCAUGCCAAUGGCACUGCCCGGUAGCUAAAUGCGGAAGAGAUAAGUGCUGAAAGCAUCUAAGCACGAAACUUGCCCCGAGAUGAGUUC
rnacentral:rRNA from 1 species